rnacentral:rRNA from 1 species
AUUGAACGCUGGCGGCAUGCCUUACACAUGCAAGUCGAACGGCAGCACGGGUGCUUGCACCUGGUGGCGAGUGGCGAACGGGUGAGUAAUACAUCGGAACGUACCUUAUCGUGGGGGAUAACGCAGCGAAAGCUGUGCUAAUACCGCAUACGCCCUGAGGGGGAAAGCGGGGGAUCGCAAGACCUCGCGCGAUUAGAGCGGCCGAUGCCUGAUUAGCUAGUUGGUGGGGUAAAAGCCCACCAAGGCGACGAUCAGUAGCUGGUCUGAGAGGACGAUCAGCCACACUGGGACUGAGACACGGCCCAGACUCCUACGGGAGGCAGCAGUGGGGAAUUUUGGACAAUGGGGGCAACCCUGAUCCAGCAAUGCCGCGUGAGUGAAGAAGGCCUUCGGGUUGUAAAGCUCUUUUGUCAGGGAAGAAACACCGGCUCUAACACAGUCCGGGAAUGACGGUACCUGAAGAAUAAGCACCGGCUAACUACGUGCCAGCCGCCGCAGUAAUAC